GAUUGCUAGCUUAUAUAUGCGAACCAUCGAUCAAUGAUCAUUCACAUACAUGAAAAGUUUGAAACAAUUUGCGAUCAUAUUUCUUAUGUCGCAAGCUAGGUUUAGAGUGUGAUCGACACGAUGAGACCUGAAGAUGAUAAUUUACCAAUUACCAUGCAUAUAUGCUGAUGGUUUGACAUCAUGUGUGAAGUUAUAGGCCUAGCUAUUUCUCGAUUGAAGAUCAUGGACCGUGUUCUAGCUAGCAUAUAUAUAUAACUUUUUUUUUUUUUUUGAAUUUGCAGAAGCUAUAACAUAUCUAUAAUGAUGGAGCUAUAGGAAGAACAAAAAAAACCCUAGCUAGAACACGGCACAUCAACCUUUGAAGAUUCCCAUGUCAGCUAGAACAGUCACCCGUAAGUCCUCAGAGAGAGAGAGAGAGAGAGGUUUUGUCCAAUGAAAUGCAGAUGAAGUGAGAAUGUGGGUGUUUGAGGAGACAUUGCCAAGUGGUGAGAAACUCACAGAUGCCAUCAACACAAGAAAUAGGGAGGAAGAAACAGGAAAGUUGCAGAAGCUUUCGCAAAGAACGGAGGGAAAAGUUAAAGCUUCUCAAAUUGGCACAUGAAACUUGUAAAUACUAAAUAAUAAUUUCAGUAUUACCUUAGUGUUUGUCAUCUGCAGGGUCAAAAUUAAAUUACAGGUUUAAUCAUGGCAUUACUCGCAGUUGUUAUUGAAUUAAUUAUGCACAACGCGCGAGAAUGAUAUAUAUGAAACAUAUAUUAGCUCUUUUUACCUUGUUAGUAGUAUGUGGUGGCAAGUUGGGAGGAUUUGUAUUGUGAGUGCAUAAGCAAAGCUGCAGCUUGAAUAAAUUAAAAUGGAUAAUAAUUUAUACAGAUGUAAUACCAUUAACAAACACAGUCUCUCAUGAGUGAAUACUCACACUUCAUCAGAAGAACUAAGAAUAAUAUAUGGAUCGGAGGAUUUAUGAAGUCUCUUUCUCUGACAAGAAAGUAUGUGUUUAUCAUUCUAUUUAUGUAUGUUCCUUUCUCUUUUAUGUAUGAAUGUUCCUUUCUCUUUUAUGUAUGAAUGUUCCUUUCUCUUUUAUGAAGGGCGAGUCAACAGCAAAACAGGUUUAUGAAGUUUAAGCCAUGCACACUGUGGGUGGUUACAGUACUUUAAUUCCUCUGUAUAUCAAGCCCAAUCCUAUAUCAAGUUGUUACAUUUCUUUCCUUUGUAUUACAGUUCUUUCCCAUAUAUACCAAUUCACAAAUAUCACACAAAUUAAUGAAAUUAAAAUUUAUCUAAAGUUUCUCUAAAAUUCUUCAUCGAUUCCUGCAUCUGGUCCUUCAGCUUCGCCUUCAGGGGAAUCAGCGUAGUAGCUGCUUUCUGGGGCAUAGGCAUCAUCACCAUCGCUGCCAUGAGUGCCAUCUUCGGUUUCGGGGAAAGGCGGAGACGAAUUGUCACUGCCCGAAGGGGUGGGGGCUUCCUACGGCGACGAGGAUGGAGAGGAAGGUGGUGAACUUGAUGAUACUUCUUCGUGUGAUGUAACCCCAACAAUGGCAACAAAGAGGAGAGCUAGCACAACUAUUCGAUCUGCCAUCUUGCAUUGAUUUCUUUGUUUCUUUGCUUUUGGUUAUGACUUUGAUUACAAGUAAUUGUUGUGUUUAAUUAAAAUAGUUUUAAUUUGUGGUGCUUUAUAUAUAGACAAACAAGUGACGUGAAAUUUGGUUUAAUUUGUUGGUUGGGCGGGGUUUGCGGGUAAUGAUCGGAUGUUUGAGAAGAACACCAUUAUUAGAAAGGGAACAAGGACCCUUCAUGGCUUCAUUGUGUUUGCGUUCAUAGGGUUUAGAGAGACUAGUUUGAAACUUUCUUUUAGAGAUCGAUAAUGCAUGCAACAUAUGGAUGUCUUCGUAUUAUUGAUUGCUCAUAUAUGGGAACCAUCGACAUAUGAUUUUUUUUUUUUUUUUUUUGGGAUGGAAUGAACCAUCGAUCAUUCAUGCAUCAUUCACAUACAUGAAAUGUUUGAAACAAUUUGCUUAUAUAUUCCUAAAGGUAUGUAAAAUUAUGGAACACGUUUUAGCAUGUAUAUGAUUAUAUAUAUAGACACACACACACAACACUACUACAAAUUUCCUCAAACCCCACUGAUUUGAAUUAGUCCCUAUUGGGACAAAGGAGACUGAUAACAGUGGCUGAAGGCAUUAGCCACCAUGCAGCCACUAAUGAGGAAUCAGUCCCCUCUAUAGCAGGUGCUAUUGGGGCAAAGGGCACUGAAAAAACAACAGUGGAAUAACUUCAUCCAAGGCAAGACAGAAUGUAAAUUAACCCACACUGAUGUUAGUGGCUUUGGAAUACCACUGAUAUCAGUGGCAAAUUUAUGAGAUUGGAUUAAAAAAAAUAAGGUGCCAAUUGGCACCUCUACAUUCUUGUAUUGUACCUUAUACUAUAUUUCAGAAUGUAUCAUACAAUAAAUAUACUAACUAAAAAGUUACAGAUGCACCCAUCAUCCAACUGUAUUUUAUAUAACUAAGACUCUUCAUCCCACAGCUGCAACUCUUCUUUGAUACGGACAACC